CAGUAGCCGCGGUAAUACGAAGGGUGCAAGCGUUAAUCGGAAUUACUGGGCGUAAAGCGUGCGUAGGCGGUUUGUUAAGUCUGUUGUGAAAUCCCCGGGCUCAACCUGGGAAUGGCAAUGGAUACUGGCAAGCUAGAGUGUGUCAGAGGAUGGUGGAAUUCCCGGUGUAGCGGUGAAAUGCGUAGAGAUCGGGAGGAACAUCAGUGGCGAAGGCGGCCAUCUGGACAACACUGACGCUGAGGCACGAAAGCGUGGGGAGCAAACAGGAUUAGAUACCCCCGUAGUCCCUGUCUCUUAUACA
rnacentral:rRNA from 1 species